rnacentral:rRNA from 1 species
AUGACAGACUCCUACGGGAGGCAGCAGUAGGGAAUUUUCGGCAAUGGGGGGAACCCUGACCGAGCAACGCCGCGUGAAGGAAGAAGGAAUUCGUUCUGUAAACUUCUGUUAUAAAGGAAGAAAGACGGAUGGAGGAAAUGACAUCCGAGUGACGGUACUUUAUGAGAAAGCCACGGCUAACUACGUGCCAGCAGCCGCGGUCAUACGUAGGAUCCGAGCAUUAUCCGGAGUGACUGAGUGUAAAGAGUUGCGUAGGUGGCAUAAUAAGUAGCUAGUGAAAUCUGGUGGCUCAACCAUUCAGACUAUUAGCUAAACUGUUAAGCUCGAGACCGUUAGGGGUAACUGGAAUUUCUAGUGUAGGGUUGAAAUCCGUAGAUAUUAGAAGGAACACCAAUAGCGUAGGCAGGUUACUGGGACGGUUCUGACACUAAGGCACGAAAGCGUAGGGAGCAAACGGGAUUAGAUACCCCCGUAAC